CGCCCUUAGAGUUUGAUCCUGGCUCAGAGCGAACGCUGGCGGCAGGCCUAACACGUGCAAGUCGAACGAACUCUUCGGAGUUAGUGGCGGACGGGUGAGUAACACGUGGGAACGUGCCUUUAGGUUCGGAAUAACUCAGGGAAACUUGUGCUAAUACCGAAUGUGCCCUUCGGGGGAAAGAUUUAUCGCCUUUAGAGCGGCCCGCGUCUGAUUAGCUAGUUGGUGAGGUAAAGGCUCACCAAGGCGACGAUCAGUAGCUGGUCUGAGAGGAUGAUCAGCCACAUUGGGACUGAGACACGGCCCAAACUCCUACGGGAGGCAGCAGUGGGGAAUCUUGCGCAAUGGGCGAAAGCCUGACGCAGCCAUGCCGCGUGAAUGAUGAAGGUCUUAGGAUUGUAAAAUUCUUUCACCGGGGACGAUAAUGACGGUACCCGGAGAAGAAGCCCCGGCUAACUUCGUGCCAGCAGCCGCGGUAAUACGAAGGGGGCUAGCGUUGCUCGGAAUUACUGGGCGUAAAGGGAGCGUAGGCGGACAUUUAAGUCAGGGGUGAAAUCCCGGGGCUCAACCUCGGAAUUGCCUUUGAUACUGGGUGUCUUGAGUAUGAGAGAGGUGUGUGGAACUCCGAGUGUAGAGGUGAAAUUCGUAGAUAUUCGGAAGAACACCAGUGGCGAAGGCGACACACUGGCUCAUUACUGACGCUGAGGCUCGAAAGCGUGGGGAGCAAACAGGAUUAGAUACCCUGGUAGUCAAGGGC
rnacentral:rRNA from 1 species